rnacentral:rRNA from 1 species
GACGAACGCUGGCGGCGUGCUUAACACAUGCAAGUCGAACGGAAAGGCCCUGCUUUUGUGGGGUGCUCGAGUGGCGAACGGGUGAGUAACACGUGAGUAACCUGCCCUUGACUUUGGGAUAACUUCAGGAAACUGGGGCUAAUACCGGAUAGGAGCUCCUGCUGCAUGGGGGGGGUUGGAAAGUUUCGGCGGUGGGGGAUGGACUCGCGGCUUAUCAGCUUGUUGGUGGGGUAGUGGCUUACCAAGGCUUUGACGGGUAGCCGGCCUGAGAGGGUGACCGGCCACAUUGGGACUGCGAUACGGCCCAGACUCCUACGGGAGGCAGCAGUGGGGAAUAUUGCACAAUGGGCGGAAGCCUGAUGCAGCAACGCCGCGUGCGGGAUGACGGCCUUCGGGUUGUAAACCGCUUUCGCCUGUGACGAAGCGUGAGUGACGGUAAUGGGUAAAGAAGCACCGGCUAACUACGUG